AUACGUAACUAAACUGAUUAAAAGCUAUGCCGUCUAGCGUCAGAAAAAAGAAACGUUCAACAGUAACAUGUAAACAAUGUCCGCUUUAGCUCGUUGACACUCAUUGAAAGAAUUAACAAACAAAGACAAAUAACUUUGGUACUCGCGUAAUAUUCUCCCCUCCAAUUUCUAACUCGUCUUCACCAAAAAUCCACUGCAGCAUCGCACAUAUCACAAGAGACGAAAUUCCCAAGCUCUUGAUGACCAUGUUCCAGCCGUUAAUGGAGUACAGAUGCUGACUGAUGAGAUGGUGAAUGCUGUUCUUAAAGCUGUUGCUGUGGUGUCACAUUUCAUUGUGUUGUUUGUUCAUUUGUCAAUCAUGUCAAAUCUCUUCCAUAUCUGGCACUCAAAUCUCAUCUGUGCAGUAUACAACUGAGAGAUAAUUACAGGUCCUUCUAACUCUAUUCCGCCCCCUCGAAUUUCUCCCAAUUUUUAGCGCAUCUAGCGGCGAUAAUCUCAACUUAAUGAAAAACAACGGCGGAUUGUCCCCCCAUCCGCCAGGUGGCGCGAGUGUCUUCGUGAGGAAGAAAUAUUCGCCAUUUGUUUCCGGAGACGUGACUUGAAAGGGUCUUCCAAGUUGAUUGGUGUCGAUCUACAUUUUUAGCCAUUUGUAAUUGGCAAUCUGGCAUAUAAAUUCACUUGGCCAAAUGUGCUGACGUGGGUCGAUUCUGCUGUCCAUUUUGUCGAAAUGUCGGCCAUUGAUAGCUGUACGUCUCAUCUCGUGCAGAAACACUUCAGAGCUAGUGAAGUCGGAAAUGGAGAUCCCUUUGCUCAACUGUUGCAGAAAUUUAGAAUACAUGACAAAUUCUGAGCUUCAUGGCUGUAAAUGUGGUUUUGUUGCAGCCAACUGGUGAAAGGUGUGAUCGAGUCAUGGUGGAGUUGCAGCUUCUGCUUGCAGUUUAUAGAGCUGGUGCUAUCCCAUACAGGAAAACUUCUUGAAUUGCCAGGUGAAGUCUGCGCUUCUUUGUUGCAGUCUAAUAUGUGCAUGGAUUCGUUGCAGUCAUCCAGUGAAAGGUGUGAUUAAAUUGAGCUGUUGCAUGCGGUCUUUGGUGCUGAUGUUGUCCUGGAGUGUGGGAGAGUCCCAUGCUUCAAGUCUUCUGGGAUCAGCCAUAUCUGAGUUGACGCUGGAUCAUGCUGCAUUGUGGUUGCCGAAAUGUUGGACAUCUAGUAGAACUGCAAGAAGACUCCUUGAAAUG